rnacentral:rRNA from 1 species
UACGUAGGGGACAAGCGUUGUCCGGAUUUACUGGGCGUAAAGAGCGCGCAGGCGGUCGGUCAAGUCGAGUGUGAAAGCCCCCGGCUCAACUGGGGAGGGUCAUUCGAUACUGAUCGACUCGAAGGCAGGAGAGGGUAGUGGAAUUCCCGGUGUAGUGGUGAAAUGCGUAGAUAUCGGGAGGAACACCAGUGGCGAAGGCGACUACCUGGCCUGUUCUUGACGCUGAGGCGCGAAAGCUAGGGGAGCAAACGGG